CUUUCUUCGCCUCAAGUUGAACACAGCGGUCGGAUGCGGUCCCACGGUCCCGACUGUGAGAGCUAGGAGGAGAAACAAGAUGGAGUAAGACUAAUGCAGAGGAGACCAAGGCGACGAGCUGGUGGUGAGAAUUUGAUGAAGAAAGUAAAUAAAUAAAGAAGAAGAACUUGCAAACAGGUACUUUGAGACAACUUUUUGCUGAAGUGCUGAGGUGGCAGGCAGGUAAGCAGGCACGUCAGCAGCGGGGCAGAGGUGCUGUUAGUCUGAUGAGCAGUAAAGCUGUCAACACCAGAAUAGCUGGGAGGAGAUGUAUUUGCUCUUAUGUUUACCAAGCUAAAAUCCAGUCUGCCUAAUAUACACCAUGUUGUGCCAAAUGCUACAGAACCUUUACAAGCCACAUUCUAAACUUUAAAGAGUGAAAUAUGAUGUGGGGUGAAGCUCAACUCUCACAAGUCGAGGCAGCCGUCGUACAUCUCCUGCUGCGUUUGGAGAGCAUCCUCGGCUGUCGAGGACUGGAUUUGUUGUUGCGAUAAACCAUGAUGAAGGUGUUUCUCUCGUACCAAAAAGUGUGAUUGGAGUCUUUCCCACUGACGUAAGCCUGAGAGGAGCGUUCUCAAAGAAAGCAGUGAUGUAAUGGAAUAUGAAGGUACUAGUCAGUCUUCUUUUUCCUUCCUCCUCCUCUAUGUCUCUGUUUCCCCCUCCCUCCUCUUCAUUUCUGUUCUUCUCUUUGUUUUUUGUUUUCUCUCGCUCUUUCUAUUUUUUGUCUUGGCAGCCUCUCCUGCUUUUACCCCUCCGGGAUCCCUGAAACCAAACCCAACAGCUCCCUCGCUUGGUGGAAACACGAAACUACGCCAAGUGUCAGCUGCUGCUUGUGUACUCUCUGUCUUCAUGUGCACAUACCUUCCAUCUGUCCACAAGUAUACUGCUGCACAUUUCUCCUCGCCAUUUCAUUUCAUUGUGUAAUAUUCCAUUCAGGAUGCCAGAUUGGUCCUUCAAUGAAUUGUUAUUUUCUAGACACAGGCAGCUCCUCUGUCAUUGUAACUGCCAAAAGCGUGAAACAUUUAUUGGACUCAAGUCCCCACUAAGGAAUCCAACGCUAAUGCUUCUCCUUCACCUCCCCUCCUCUUCUUGUCUUCCGUCCUUGUUCUCCGUCAUCAUCAAAGCGAGGAGCCACCAGCUCUCUUUGCCUCUGGGAGACCCCACAUCGAGACACACUUUCUGUCCCAGCCUUCUCUGAAGAUGCAACUGAGAAGAAAACAUUAAAGUUCUUUAACAGCUCUGAUGUUUCAUGGCGGGGACAUAAAAACAGAGCUUUUUUUCCUCAAUGACUUUUGUG